rnacentral:lncRNA from 1 species
GAAGACAUCUGUGUGGGCCACGUCAUAAGACCAUCCAGGGGUCAAUGCUGAACAUCUCUGGACAUACAUACAUAUGCAUAACAAAAUAACAUGCAUGAUACAAUAGAUGGAAAUAUGAUACAGGGAAUGGAAAACUGUACAUACAUUCCUAAGUAUAUCAUCAUUUAAUACAUCUCUGUAAAGCUAAAAUACAGGAAAAUG